rnacentral:rRNA from 1 species
UACUGGCAUCGUCGGUUUCUCCCUUCUGACGAACCAUGAUGUCAUUUAUUUGGUGUCGUGGGGAAUCAGGACUGUUACUUUGAAAAAAUUAGAGUGUUUAAAGCAGGCUCACGCUUGAAUACAUUAGCAUGGAAUAAUGAAAUAGGACGUUUGAUUCUAUUUUGUUGGUUUCUAGGAUCGACGUAAUGAUUAAUAGGGAUAGUUGGGGGCAUUAGUAUUCAAUUGUCAGAGGUGAAAUUCUUGGAUUUAUUGAAGACUAACUACUGCGAAAACAUUUGCCAAGGAUGUUUUCAUUAAUCAAGAACGAAAGUUAGGGGAUCGAAGACGAUCAGAUACCGUCGUAGUCUUAACCAUAAACUAUGCCGACUAGGGAUCGGAUGAUGUUAAUUUUUUAAUGACUCAUUCGGCGCCUUACG